UACGUAGGGGGCUAGCGUUGUUCGGAAUCAUUGGGCGUAAAGCGCGUGUAGGCGGUCCGGUAAGUCCGCUGUGAAAGUCGAGGGCUCAACCCUCGAAUGCCGGUGGAUACUGUCGAGCUAGAGUGCGGAAGAGGCGAGUGGAAUUCCUGGUGUAGCGGUGAAAUGCGCAGAUAUCAGGAGGAACACCUAUUGCGAAGGCAGCUCGCUGGGACGUUACUGACGCUGAGACGCGAAAGCGUGGGGAGCAAACAGG
rnacentral:rRNA from 1 species